rnacentral:rRNA from 1 species
AUUGAACGCUAGCGGGAUGCUUUACACCUGCACGUCGAACGAGUGGCGGACGGGUGAGUAAUAUAUCGUAACGUGCCCCGUAGCGGGGGAUUACUACUCGAAACCGUGGCUAAUACCGCACAAUAUUGGAGCGGCCGAUAUCGGAUUAGCUAGUUGGUGGGGUAAAGGCUCACCAAGGCAACGCUCCGUAGCUGGUUUGAGAGGCCGACCAGCCACACUGGGACUGAGACACGGCCCAGACUCCUACGGGAGGCAGCAGUGGGGAAGUUUGGACAAUGGGGGAAAACCUGAUCAAGCCAUCCCGCGUGUAUGAGAAGGCCUUCGGGGUGUAAAGUACUUUGGGCAGAGAGGCGGUAUCUGCAGAAUAAGCACCGGCUAACUACGAGCCAGCAGCCGCGGUAAUAC